AGAGUCCCCUGGNCCAUUAGCUCAGGUGGUUAGAGCGCACCCCUGAUAAGGGUGAGGUCCCUGGUUCAAGUCCAGGAUGGCCCA
rnacentral:tRNA from 1 species